UACGUAGGGGGCAAGCGUUGUCCGGAAUCAUUGGGCGUAAAGCGCGUGUAGGCGGCCAGAAAAGUCCGCUGUGAAAACUCGAGGCUCAACUUCGAGCUGUCGGUGGAAACUUUCUGGCUAGAGUCCGGAAGAGGAGAAUGGAAUUCCUGGUGUAGCGGUGAAAUGCGCAGAUAUCAGGAAGAACACCCGUGGCGAAGGCGGUUCUCUGGGACGGUACUGACACUCAACUACGAAAGCGUGGGGAGCAAACAGG
rnacentral:rRNA from 1 species